rnacentral:rRNA from 1 species
GAUGAACGCUAGCUACAGGCUUAACACAUGCAAGUCGAGGGGUAGCAGGGUAGCAAUACCGCUGACGACCGGCGCACGGGUGAGUAACACGUAUCCAACCUUCCCAUAACUCGGGGAUAGCCUUUCGAAAGAAAGAUUAAUACCGGAUGGUACUUUUUCAAGGCAUCUUGAGAAAGUUAAAGAUUUAUUGGUUAUGGAUGGGGAUGCGUUCCAUUAGAUAGUUGGUGAGGUAACGGCUCACCAAGUCUUCAAUGGAUAGGGGUUCUGAAAGGGAGGUCCCCCACAUUGGUACUGAGACACGGACCAAACUACUGCGAGAGGCAGCAUUCAGGAAUAUUGGUCAAUGGGCGAGAGCCUGAACCAGCCAAGUAGCGUGAAGGAUGAAGGUCCUAUGGAUUGUAAACUUCUUUUAUAGUAGAAUAAAGUGAUCCACGUGUGGAUUUUUGUAUGUAUACUAUGAAUAAGGAUCGGCUAACUCCGUGCCAGCAGCCGCCGUAA